UAAUGCAUAGAUAAUGUGCCCCUUAGUUCGGGAUAGCCACUGGAAACGGUGAUUAAUACCGGAUACUCCUUCUUGUUAUAAGACAAGUCGGGAAAGUUUUUCGCUAAGGGAUCAGUCUAUGUUCCAUCAGCUUGUUGGUGAGGUAAUGGCUCACCAAGGCUAUGACGGAUAUCUGGUUUGAGAGGAUGAUCAGACACACUGGAACUGAGACACGGUCCAGACUCCUACGGGAGGCAGCAGUGAGGAAUAUUGCACAAUGGAGGAAACUCUGAUGCAGCAACGCCGCGUGGAGGAUGACGCAUUUCGGUGUGUAAACUCCUUUUAUUAGGGAAGAUAAUGACGGUACCUAAUGAAUAAGCACCGGCUAACUCCGUGCCAGCAGCCGCGGUAAUACGGAGGGUGCAAGCGUUACUCGGAAUCACUGGGCGUAAAGGGUGCGUAGGCUGGCUUUUAAGUCAGAUGUGAAAUCCAAUGGCUCAACCAUUGAACUGCAUUUGAAACUGAAAGCCUAGAGUUCAGAAGGGGCAGAUGGAAUUAGUGGUGUAGGGGUAAAAUCCGUAGAUAUCACUAGGAAUAUCAAAAGCGAAGGCGAUCUGCUGGGAUGAUAC
rnacentral:rRNA from 1 species